GCACACGUGAUGGGAGGGCUGGAGUGCGGUGGGUUGGAUUUAAAAGAUUUGAUUUGUUUGAAGAGAUUCGGUUCGUCUUAUCACGGAGUUUGGCAAUGGUUUCUCUGCUCAAAUGGUCAUGUGAUCAUGGUGAUUGCUUGGGGGUGUGAAGAUGGGGGUUCUCGCAGGUCCAACUGGAGUCUUGACUCAGACGUGCGUGCUGGAGCAUCCACCUCGGUCAUGAGCAUCCACCUCGGUCAUGAGCAUCCACCUCUUGUGUCACCUGGUGAUGCCAAUUCCUGAUGGCCCAGGUUGUCUCAUUCUGAACAAUCUGACAACCAAUUCUCAGGGGGUUUGAACGUUCGAAUUCGAUCAAUGGAGCGACGGAAACUGCGGUGCACGCAUUGAGUGUCGAACAAUGACUCAAGCCUUUAUGUUGGAUACACCCAGACCCUUCCUCACAGAGUGCUGACAAUGGCGGUUCAACGAGAAAUCAUCUGUCCCAUAGCAAAGGGCUCCGGAAGGGAAAAUCCUUGCGGACCUGGAUACAAUUGAAUCUACCGUAAGUACUGUAUGUACUGGAGAUUCAAUACGGGAGUGCUAUGAGUGACAAUCAACCGAGUCGAGGGUGAAACAGAUGAAGAUAAAUGGUGGACAACUACUGGUGACUCUGUUUUAGGCUGACGCAAGCGUUAUCUGCUGUGGGAGGUCUCAUUUGGCUCACCGGAGAACUCAUUUGGCCUAUAGGAGAUCUCGAACUUCUCAAGAGACUCGAUCUGCUCUAGAGAUGUCUAGAUCUGCUCUAGAGAUGUCUAGAUCUGCUCUAGAGAUGUCUAGAUCUGCUCUAGAGAUGUCUAGAUCUGCUCCAGAGAUGUCUAGAUCUGCUCUAGAGAUGUCUAGAUCUGCUCAAGAGAUGUCUAGAUCUGCUCAAUAGAUACCUCCUUUGGUCCAAGAGGCCUGGAGUCGACCUUGACAACCCUUGAGUCGAUCAUUAAUACCCCUCAAGACACCCUAACGAUAAAUGCCCUGCGGAAGACCAUGAUGCUGGCAAGGGGAUCGUUGCUCGAGAACCAGUCCGCAGUCCAAGUCAAUAAAUGAGCACCUGAGACGGAAACACCACCGCGCUACUCCUCGCAACCAGACAGCUCCGAGUCGGGCCACGUGAAUCCUGAAGGAUGCUCCCGCAGUUGAUCGGAGACACGUGAGCCCCCAGACCCAUACUGAUCAGAACAGUGACUGCUGGUGGCAUGGAUCAUAGAUUGGACUCACGUUUUCACUUUUGCUACAGCCGCAAUCUGUUAAGCAGAAUGUACGGUUAUGGACUACAUGUGUGGCGAGUUGUAUCGGACAUUCUCAAACACUGCCGGUGGGUUUGAACAUGGAAGUGACAACUUGUCAAGAAACUGGAACAGAAAGAUCAACUGAUCGCUGGUUCAAUUGAUGUAUAAAUCACAAGACGAACAGAGGACAUUGCCUAGUCUCAUGACAAGUUGUCCAACUGACUGGGUCUUGUCAGCUCCGCAAUCACAAGAACAAGAGAUGGGAGUCUGAAAUCGAGUCUUUGAUGGCUAUCACAGGUAUUGGUAGUAGGUGCUAUCUUGUAGUUGAUUUAGUGAAGGAGGUUCGUUCAUGACAGUCCGUCAACGUAGUCUAUAACCUGAAAUCUCUCGUAUCCAAUACUCAUGAUCAUGUGAAUAACCAAACUCGUCUUCACCAAACUCGUCUUCACACUUACUUGUACAAUACUUAGCAAUUUAGUUGAAAGAUACUCAACACCCAAGUGCCACUACUUGUAU
rnacentral:misc_RNA from 1 species